rnacentral:rRNA from 1 species
GACGAACGCUGGCGGCGGGCUUAACACAUGCAAGUCGAACGGAAAGGCCCUGCUUUUGUGGGGUGCUCGAGUGGCGAACGGGUGAGUAACACGUGAGUAACCUGCCCUUGACUUUGGGAUAACUUCAGGAAACUGGGGCUAAUACCGGAUAGGAGCUCCUGCUGCAUGGUGGGGGUUGGAAAGGUUCGGCGGUUGGGGAUGGACUCGCGGCUUAUCAGCUUGUUGGUGGGGUAGUGGCUUACCAAGGCUUUGACGGGUAGCCGGCCUGAGAGGGUGACCGGCCACAUUGGGACUGAGAUACGGCCCAGACUCCUACGGGCGGCAGCAGUGGGGAAUAUUGCACAAUGGGCGGAAGCCUGAUGCAGAAACGCCGCGUGCGGGAUGACGGCCUUCGGGUUGUAAACCGCUUUCGCCUUUGCCGAAGCGUGAGUGACGGUAAUGGGUAAAGAAGCACCGGCUAACUACGUG